rnacentral:lncRNA from 1 species
UUUUUAACGAACAAGAUUUAAACUUGAUGAUAUUUAGAGACUUAAAUUAAAGUUUAAUGUAAAAUAUUAUAUUAUAUUUAGAAAAUUCUUAUUAAAACAUGUACAAUUUUAUCGAUACAUAAGAUAUAUAAUAACCAUCCAUAAUACAAUUUUUUUUUCAAAAUUUAUAAGUAAAGUCUUAAGUUAUAACUAUUCAUUAUUAAUUUCUUAUCAAUUUCAUUUUGUUAAUGAUACAAUAACUAUUCAUAAUCGGUGUGUUUGGGAUUGCUUUUUCAACCUGAUUUUUUUAUUAUUGUGUUUUGAAAUCGCAAAAAAAAAAAUCUAUUUUGAGUGUUUGGUAAAAAGUUAAUAAAAACUGAUUUUUUACGUUUUGUAGAGAUCAAAACGUAAUAAUUCAAAAGUAGGUCACCCCUUACUGCAGGAAAACGUGAUAAUCCAAAAACUGAUUUUUUACGUUUUCACUUAUUUAUUUUUUAAAAUAUAUAUAUUUACCAAACACUCAAAUAGUUGAUUAUCUGAUUAUUGUGAUAUCAAACAACAUAAUCAAAUCCAAACAUUGUUGAUUAUCUUAUUAUUGUGACUAAUUCUGAUUAUUCAAAACGUAUAAUCUAUUUUCAAAACUCAAUCCCAAACACCUAAGUCUCCAUGCAUAUUCAAAUUUAAUUACAUUAAUUAUCUACGAUUUAUUCUUUUAAUAUAUUUUUUUGAACGGCUAAAUGUUGUAUCCUUGAGGGUGGUUCCCUCAAGUUUACACCUCUAGUUUUAACAUGUUAUUUAACCGGUCUCGGUACCUGAUAUAGCUACUGCGCCACAAUGAUACUUAGGGGGUGUUUAGGAUUGCUGAUUUAACUCAAAAAUGACUUUUUGGCAAAAGAACUUAUUAACUUGUAACUCAUCUAAAAGCAGUUUUUUAAAAAGUGUUUGGAUUAGAUUAUGUGAUGAGAAAAAUCAAUAAAUUGUUUUAUAAAAAAGUGAAUAAGUUGUUUCAAAAGACAAUCCCAUACAUGCGCCCUUAGUAUAAACCAUAUGUAAUAUAAAUCGUAUACAUAUCCCAAAUCAUUUUAUCUUCAUUUUCAUAUACAACAAUAUACGAUUUCAUAUUCUACAAAUUAUGCGUACAACACAGAAAUAAAGAUUGUACCUUACUUAAUCGACUUAUGCUGGUAUACUGGAACCGACAAACACUUCGAUCUGCAACUCCAC